rnacentral:misc_RNA from 1 species
UAAUAAGUGUUUUAUGGCACUUUUUAAAUCCAUAUCCACCUUGUGUGCAAUGUCAGUCGAUCUUCUUCAUGGAGAUCGACCAAACAUCAACCUUUAUCUUUUAACUCUUUGUCUGAAAAAUAUUAUGACUAAACAAUAAAAUUA